rnacentral:misc_RNA from 1 species
UCCGGCUUAUCGCCGACAGUUCCCUUAGGGUUCUCAGCAUAACCUGUUAGCAACUAAGGGCAAGGGUUGCGCUCGUUGCGGGACUUAACCCAACAUCUCACGACACGAGCUGACGACAGCCAUGCAGCACCUCUAGAGCAGUCCGGUAAAGGACAUUGACAUCUCUGCCAACUUCCACUCCAGUUCAAGCCCAGGUAAGGUUCUUCGCGUUGCGUCGAAUUGAACCACAUGCUCCACCGCUUGUGCGGGCCCCCGUCAAUUCCUUUGAGUUUCGGUCUUGCGACCGUACUCCCCAGGCGGAGUGUUUCACGCGUUAGCUGGGCCCCUGAUCCACGUAGACCAAGUAUACAUCGUUUACGGCAAGGACUAC